UAUGCCAGCAACACACAGAGCAUUUGUGG
rnacentral:piRNA from 1 species